AUGCCAGGUGAGUCUCCAUGCACAAAUCAAGCUUACUUUUCUCGAAUACGUGAAGAUACUGAGGAUGAUCAUGCUGACCUAAUCUGGAGGUCCAGAGCUCCGCACAAGAUCAAACUGUUCGCCUGGCUGCUGUUUCGCGGCCGACUAAACACCCGUGCAAACCUGUCCUUCAAACACAUGGAUGAUGCUGCCAGCUGCCCACGAUAUGCUGGCCCCUCUGAAGACACGACUCAUCUGUUCAUUGCUUGUACGCGGUUUCUGCAGAUUUGGGGCCAACUAGGCCUUUCCACUACUCCCAGGUUCCAGGAUCUAUGGUUGGUCCACCCCCCGCAGCAGCUAGACAGCAUGGUCUGGCCGGAAGUGCUACUCGUCGUUCACUGGAAGAUUUGGGACUCCCGAAACGCUGCUGUCUUCCGUUUUGAAGAUCACUCUCCUCGUACUACCAUUCAGAACAUUGUAAGUGACCUUGAGUUAUUCUCGCAUCGCUUUAGAGAUCCUGCUAGCUGCCAGGUCUUGGCUUGGUUAUCUUACCACGCUUGCCGUGCCCUUGUAAUCUGUAAUCUACCACUGCUUGGCCCAAUUUGGCCACUUGAGUAA
rnacentral:rRNA from 1 species